rnacentral:ncRNA from 1 species
GUUGUUUUGCUAGUGACUGGAUUAUGGUGCAUUGAGUAUGAUCGUGUGGCUGAAUGGUUAGCGCAUCCAUUACAUAUACCGACUCUUAUACAAAAACGGCCCAAGUGCCGAGCCUACCAUGGGUUCGAAACUUGGCUUGGUAAAAAAAAUAAUAAUGGUGCAUGGAAGGAUAGAAUAGGAUAUCAGUUCUAUUUUGUUGGUUUUCGGAGAGCGAGGUAAUGAUUAAGAGGGACAGACGGGGGCAUUCGUACUGUGCCGUUAGAGGUGAAAUUCUUCGAUCGGCGCAAGACGAACGACUGCGAAAGCAUUUGACAAGAAUGUUUUCUUUAAUCAA